rnacentral:rRNA from 1 species
AGAGUUUGAUCCUGGCUCAGGAUGAACGCUAGCGGCAGGCUUAACACAUGCAAGUCGAGGGGCAGCACGAGUAGCAAUACUUGGUGGCGACCGGCGCAAGGGUGCGUAACGCGUGAGCAACAUGCCCGUAUCAGGGGGAUAAUCCAGGGAAACUUGGUCUAAUACCCCAUAGUAAUCAUAUCAGGCAUCUGGUAUGAUUUAAAGCUUAGGUGGAUACGGAUUGGCUCGUGUGACAUUAGCUAGAUGGUAAGGUAACGGCUUACCAUGGCUAUGAUGUCUAGGGGUUCUGAGAGGAAGGUCCCCCACACUGGAACUGAGACACGGUCCAGACUCCUACGGGAGGCAGCAGUGAGGAAUAUUGGACAAUGGAUGGAAAUCUGAUCCAGCCAUGCCGCGUGAAGGACGACGGUCCUAUGGAUUGUAAACUUCUUUUGUAUGGGAGCAAUAAGGUCUACGUGUAGAUCGAUGAGAGUACCAUACGAAUAAGCAUCGGCUAACUCCGUGCCAGCAGCCGCGGUAAUACGGAGGAUGCGAGCGUUAUCCGGAUUUAUUGGGUUUAAAGGGUGCGUAGGCGGUUGUAUAAGUCAGCGGUGAAAUUUUCCGGCUUAACCGGGAGACUGCCGUUGAUACUGUAUAGCUUGAAUACGGUUGCUGUGAGUGGAAUGUGUGGUGUAGCGGUGAAAUGCAUAGAUAUCACACAGAAUAUCGAUUGCGAAGGCAGCUCACAAAGCCGUUAUUGACGCUGAUGCACGAAAGUGUGGGGAUCAAACAGGAUUAGAUACCCUGGUAGUCCACACUGU